rnacentral:SRP_RNA from 1 species
GCCUGUAGUCCCAGCUACUGGGGAGGCUGAGGUGGGAGGAUCGCUUGAGCCCAGGAGUUCUGGGCUGUAGUGCACUAUGCCGAUCGGGUGUCCGCACUAAGUUUCACAUCAAUAUGGUGACCUCCCGGGAGUGGGGAACCACCAGGUUGCCUAAGGAGGGGUGAACUGGCCCAGGCUGGAAACAGAGCAGGUCAAAACUCCCAUGCUGAUCAGUAGUGGGAUCUUGCCUGUGAAUAGCCACUGCACUCCAGCCUGGGCAACAUAGCGAUACCCUGUCUCU